UCUUCUCUCUCCCCAGGUCUGAGGAAGAGCUACACUGGUUGAUUAUUGCAAGAAUGAAAGGCACUCUGACCUUGUGGACCGAACGCCUUGCGGCUUUCAAUGUUGCCCAUUACACUGAAGGCAGGCAACUCCUAGAGAGAGGCAGAAUCGACAGGAGAGCUGCUCACUGGGCAACCUGCCAGAAAAGGCUUCAGCAGCAGCAGUUUAGACACCGCCGAACAGCUCAGGCAGCAAAGGAAACAGCUGGGGAAGGGGGGUGGGGGUGGGGGCGAGGCAAAGACAGAGUAUAUAAAAAUAUUGUUAGCACACAGUUUAAAGAGCUCCCGGGCAUCCGUGCUAUACAGCGCCUUUGCUAAUCCUGCCCCUCAUCAUCUGCCUGAACUGAAAACCGACCUGGGAAGGAAAGCUGAAGAAGGAAGCAGCAGCCAACAUGGGGCUAUGACGUCAGCAUACCCAGUGCAAUAUUCAAGAAAAGGGUAAGGUGGAUCCCAGUGGAGUCAGUGGGAGGAUGGAUAAGUUCAACCUCUUUGAGAGCUUGACCUCUAAGCUCAGAGCCAACUGCUUUCCAGUCUGUCAGUUCUCAUUCAACCUGAUACGGAGAUGAUGACAAAGAAACUACCCCAGAGGAAUCCUGCCCAGCAGCCUGAGAGCUGAAGGACGAGGGCCACUCUUCAGAUCAAGUCUUAUGUGAUUGUCUGGAGAUGUCUAAAAAAGGAUGGAAAGGCUUCUGAAAAAGACGCCCUUCUCUCAAAGUGGAUGUUGAAGGCUGUUUCACAUUAACAUCAGUAAAAGUCUCCUCCUACAUGUAGAAGUCUACUCAUGUAUAGAAGUGCGAGUUUCCUCAUCUGAUGAUGACACCUCAGGGGGCAGCUAUGAAGAUUAAAUGAAUCAACACAUACGAAGAAUUAAGAAGAGAUUUCUGGAACAUGGUAGGUCACAGAUAUAUUUCCUAUUAUUAUUCACUAUCUUAAAUUAGAACCCUAUUUUAAGUUUGAAAAAGUUGUGUAUGCUUACGGCAUUCAUGGAUUUGGGGGGGAUAAUCAUGUAAAUUUUAAACAAU